UAGCCUUGACAUUGAUUGAAUUUUCCAGAGAUGGAGAAGUGCCUUCGGGAACCUGAAAAC
rnacentral:rRNA from 1 species